GAUGAAGAACGCAGCGAAAUGCGAUAAGUAAUGUGAAUUGCAGAAUUCAGUGAAUCAUCGAAUCUUUGAACGCACAUUGCGCCCCCUGGUAUUCCGGGGGGCAUGCCUGUCCGAGCGUCAUUACAACCCUCAAGCUCAGCUUGGUAUUGGGCCCCGCCGACCCGGCGGGCCCUAAAGUCAGUGGCGGUGCCGUCCGGCUCCGAGCGUAGUAAUUCUUCUCGCUCUGGAGGUCCGGUCGUGUGCUCGCCAGCAACCCCCAAUUUUUUUCAGGUUGCCCUCGGAUCAGGUAGGGAUACCCGCUGAACUUAAGCAUAUCAAUAAGCGGAGGA
rnacentral:misc_RNA from 1 species